rnacentral:lncRNA from 1 species
ACACCAGCACCUGGAAACUGGCCGUGACAGGACAAGGAGAGUGCACCACAAGAACAUCACUUGAAUAAAUGAGAGGAAUCUGCCCAUCAAGAACACCCAUGCAUCUUGCCCACAGCCUACUCUCACUGGACACCCAAGGUUUCUGGGCUGCUCUUCACAAGAAAAAAAAUGUGACUCCAUCACCUCCAGGAAAACUGAAGAGCUGAAGGACC